rnacentral:rRNA from 1 species
GGCUUAACACAUGCAAGUCGAGGGGUAACAGGGGAAAAGCUUGCUUUUUUGCUGACGACCGGCCGAACGGGUGCGUAACGCGUAUAGAAUCUGCCUUGUACAGGAGGAUAGCCUUUAGAAAUGAAGAUUAAUACUCCAUAAUGUUGAGAGAUGGCAUCAUCUUUUAAUUAAAGAUUUAUCGGUACAAGAUGACUAUGCGUCCUAUUAGCUAGAUGGUAAGGUAACGGCUUACCAUGGCAACGAUAGGUAGGGGGUCUGAGAGGAUUAUCCCCCACACUGGUACUGAGACACGGACCAGAC